UUCACGGGCUUGUUGCUAUGUUGACUGUAUUUUGACAAUUAAAGUUGCGACCUUGAGAUUAAAACAUCCAAUGGCCGCUGGUGUUUUCGAUUAAAAAACAGUGCUGCAGGGAUGAAAGAGGGACGACCAUUUCCAAAAUGCCUCCUCCAGACAGACGAGCAAGACCGCUUGAUAAACCAUUUCCAAAAACUAAAGAGAAAGAGCUUCCUGAUCUGCGGAGGCUUCUUUCGUUUGUCUCGGCCCCGUUUUCUAAGCCACAGUCCACAGGAAAUCAGAGUAAAGGUAGAAAACCCCAGAAUUCUCCUCAGGUGAAUGAGAACAGGACACACACAAGGUACACCGCAGCAGAGGCAGCAGAACUUGAUAAAUUCAGUGUGAAGUACAGAGAGCAGAAGCAUUUCUCUGGACAUCCUCAUCACAGUCUCUUCUCAGAUAUCUUCACUGCCCUGAUCAAAAACCGACUCAACUGCAGUGAGUGGCUGGACCAUUCCUCAUCCGAAAACAUCCUCCGGGUUCUCAUCUGCCUGAGACUGUUAAUAAGAGAGCCUCGUUACCAAAAAGUGUUUCAUGAGCUUGACGGCUUAAUUCACCUUAUAAAGUACAUGGAGUCAGUCUGCAGUGCAUAUCUGGAAAAUAAAGAAUGUGCACUGGAAAACGAACAGCUCGUCACCAUGACCUAUGUGUGUCAAAAACUGGCCAUGGCUGAAGAGCAGAGAAAGUGGCUGAUUGACUGUGAAGCUCAUAAGACUCUUGUAAAGCUCCUUUCUGCACGGGACAGUAACGUGUUAUUGGGCGCCCUUCUGGCCCUCACUACUCUAGCAGACAGCCCCGAGUGCAAGGAGAAGAUCGGAGAGCUGUCUGUUGUGGAGAACCUGCUGGUGAUUUUGCAGGAAUACGACAUGUUAUCAAAAAGGCUCAGUGCGGAGCUCCUGCGUCUGCUCUGCCCAGUACCAGCCGUCCGUGAGCAGGUGUGUGAAUGCGACGGCAUCCCCGUCCUACUGAGCAUGCUCCAUGCGGAUCAUCUGAAGCUGCUGUGGAGCACGGUAUGGGUUCUGGUCCAGCUGUGCCAGGAUCCGGAGGGCAGCACCAACAUUCGAGCCUGGGGAGGAAUUCAGCAGCUCCUGCGCAUCCUGAACGGAGAGCGAGUGUAUGUGUCUGAUCGCUCGUCCAUAGCGACUCUCUCCAGUGCUAACGCUGCUGGCCGUCUGCACACACAGCAUGUAUGUGAGGAUCUGAGUCCACACGAGGCUGAAGAGAACAUGGUGGCCCUGCAUGCUGCAUGCUGUGCUGCGAUAACAGAGCUGGUGCUGGACGACGCAGCGGCCCACCAUGUGGUGCAGGAGAACGGUGUGUACAUAAUAGGCAAACUGAUCCUGCCAAAUGGACCAAAAACAGCAUCACUCCAGUGUUACGCGUUCCGGACUCUGCGCUUCCUUUUCAGUAUGGAGCGUAAUAGACAUCUUUUUAAAAGGCUCUUCCCACCGGAUCUGUUUGAGAUGUUUAUAGACAUCGGGCAUUAUGUCAGAGACAUCUCAGCGUACGUUCCUCUGCAGGAAAGAGUCUCAGUGCUUUCGACUGAAGGAUUAGACGGACUGAAGGAAAGGAUUGAGGCAGUGAAUCAGAACCGUCCUCCUCUCAAAGUGAUUAACGGCUACGCCAUUCUCGAUCCUCUGGGCAGUGGAGCCUUCGGCAGUGUUUUUAAGGUCCGCAAACAGGGAGCACAGAACUGUUUGGCACUGAAGGAAGUGAACCUCCACAAUCCCGCUUUCGGCCACGACAAGAAAUCCAGAGACAGCAACGUCGAGAAAUUAGUAUCCGAGCUCACCAUAAUCAAGGAACAGAUGACGCAUCCAAACAUUGUGAAGUACUUCAAGACAUUUUUAGAAUGUGACAGGCUGUAUAUCGUAAUGGAGCUGGUUGAAGGCGCACCGCUCUCCGAGCACUUCAGCUCCCUGAAAGAAAAACAGCAGACGUUCACCGAAGAACGAGUGUGGAAUAUUUUCACUCAGAUGUGUCUGGCAUUAAGGUACUUACACAAGGAGAAGAGGAUCGUCCACAGAGACCUGACUCCUAAUAACAUCAUGCUGGGAGAGAGAGAUAAAGUCACCAUCACUGAUUUUGGUCUCGCAAAGCAGAAACAAGAAACCAGCAAACUAAUGUCCGUUGUCGGGACCAUUCUCUACUCCUGUCCAGAGAUCGUGAAAAGUGAGCCGUAUGGAGAGAAGGCUGAUGUUUGGGCUUCCGGCUGUGUCCUGUAUCAGAUGGUCACUCUCCGACCUCCGUUCUACAGCAACAACAUGCUCUCGCUCGCCACCAAGAUUGUGGAGGCUGAGUUUGAGCCAGUGGAGAACACGUCCUUUUCAGAAAGAGUUACAGACAUGAUUAAAUGGUGCCUGACCCCUAAUGCGGAUUUGCGGCCCGACAUCGUGGAGGUCAGCUCUAGAAUCUGUGACCUGAUGAUGAAAUUCCUGGAUGGUGUGAACACCUCACAUAACAUGCUGGAGAAGAGAGCCGAGCGUGACAGGAGGCGAGCGCAGAAAUACUGCAUUGAAAGCAACCGCCUGAAGCUCACAUGCUGCAGGCCGCCUCAGGGAAUGGACUUUAACAGCGAGCUGCUGGUUGGACAAUACGCUCAGCAGUCUGAGAGACGGGAGCGAAGUUUCUCAGACUCGGUCGACGGAGAAGCUAAUGUGCAAGAUUUUUCGUCAAGUCAUGUGUCAACAACUGCCUCUGUCCUGAGUUCAGCCUCAGCUCAGGCACAUCUACUCCAACAUCGAACCAAGAGCCCCGACAGCUUCUCACUUCCAGACGAUCAAAGCCGAGCUGGUGGAGACGUUUUAAAGCCUAAAGCUCGACCAGGAUCAGCGGCAAUCUGUGUAUCCCACAGGAAAGUCCGUCAGAUUGACGAUCCCAACCUAAGGCUUCUUGAACUGCUCCAUAAAAUCAUAUUCGUCACUCAGCUUCCACCCGGACCUCAGACCAGUUUUCAGCGGCGUGCACUAGAGCGCUUUAAGAAAUCACUGUUCCAGCGCGGAAGCAGUCCAUUUCAUCUAAAGAUGGAGCUCAAUAAGGUGCUUCAGGGAAGUCAGGAGGCGGUAGAGCUGGGGUCGGGCAGCGUGGACUGGUGGACCCUGGUGAAGUCUGGCCGAGCUGAGACACACGGGGAAUUAGGUUAUUCAAGUCCUCAAGAGGGCAUCACUUACGAGCAGUUACAGGUCAUGAUUGAGGAAGUGCUGGAGCAAAGCGGUUAUUACAGCACACCGCCAUCCAGUUUUGCACUUGACCUACAAUGCUAAUGUAGCUCACAAGCUAGGAGAGUUAAUAAAUAUCUUCUUUUGACCCUUGACUCCAACCAAGGUUAUGAGCGAGUCAGAGACAGGAAACAGCCGAAGUGCCGACCCGUGACUUUGCGUGGUGAUGUAAUAUCCGUGCGAUGCAUAAAUAUGCAGAUUACAGGAAGCCUAAGAACUAUUUUGUUCCACUACACCGAGGCAUUUUGCUUUGAAACCAAAGAGUCCGGAGUGACAUGAACUGAAGACGUGCAUGUUCGGAAAUACCUGAAAAUGAGCAGGUCCACCUUCUGAACUGUAGUGAAUGUAGCCAGUUGCUUUAAUCUACUUGGUUCAAGUGUUCAUCUUAUUCGAAUGUAUUAUAUUUGUUCUGACCUUGCAUUCUGCCUGCACGAAUCUGCACACAGCUAGCUCUGAACCUCAAACAAAACGUCUCAUCUGUAGACCCUGCGGCCUUGAGCUCAUCUGCGUAAAUGUGAUUUAAUAUAAGCAUUAACAGGACCUCAUCACUUUUAUUCUCAGGGUUACGGAUGUGGGAUUCUUUUCUUUAACUCGCCGCCUUGCAGUUCAGGUUUCGCUUCAAAUCUCAGGUUGAGUUCAUGUAAUGCACUUUACCUUACAAACAGAAACUGUUCAGAUAUUCCCAAAGAAAUUCUACUUAUAAAAUAAUAAUAAUAAUAAUCUAAAACAUGUGUAUAUAUAGCAUUAGAUUGAUAUUAGUUUUCUGUCCUAAUUAGUCAUUUGAAAUUUGAAUAAAGGGCUGUUUGUUUUUCA